GCUAGAUUUAAUUAUUAUGGGUAAAUGUUAAUAUUAUGGGAAGGCAUACACAUCAGUAGCAUACAUAUAUUGAGUUUGGUAUCUAAACUAAUGAGAAAUUUGUUUAGCUUCAUCAAGCACAAAGCAGUUGCUAAUAAUGAUGGCGAUUGAUACAGAAUGUAUAUGGAAUGGGAGCAAAAAAGAUUGAGUGACAAGCUUACCAUCAACUGGGUGUUUGUCUGCAGCUAUCACCCUCUCUGAUGCAGGAAGCAAUCAGUGUGUUAAAGAGGUUAAACCGUGAUGCCAUUUCCUUCAAUGAGAAACCAUACAGCACUUCCAAAAGCUUGGUGAACAAUUUUCCAGGUCUCAAACUUGAGGUCUUUGAUAUAUAUCAGCCUCUGUUGGAUAUGAUCUUGAGGUCCAAUGACAAUGGUAAUGUGCCCAUCCUGAAAUAUCAAGACCUCAAAGAUCCAUAAAUCCCUAAGAAAGUUCAAAUCCAGUGUUGGAACUUAUUGCAUAUAGAAGUUUUGCUCUCAAAGUGCUUGCUCGCUUGUAUGUUGGAAG
rnacentral:misc_RNA from 1 species